UACGUAGGGGGCUAGCGUUGUCCGGAAUCAUUGGGCGUAAAGCGCGUGUAGGCGGUCCGGUAAGUCCGCUGUGAAAGUCGGGGGCUCAACCCUCGGAUGCCGGUGGAUACUGUCGGGCUUGAGUACGGAAGAGGCGAGUGGAAUUCCUGGUGUAGCGGUGAAAUGCGCAGAUAUCGGGAGGAACACCAAUGGCGAAGGCAGCUUGCUGGGACGGUACUGACGCUGAGACGCGAAAGCUAGGGGAGCGAACGGG
rnacentral:rRNA from 1 species